ACUGAACUGCAAUCCAGUGCCAUCAUGAUCAUCAGCACUGUCACUGUCGUGCUUGUUAGUACAAUGCCAAAUGGAGUGGUUCUAAACGAAAGUAGUGCCAAAUGCUUAUAGAGAUGCAUGCCUUAUGUGGAGCAGGGUUUCUUCCUUGAGAUAAAUGACAAAAUUUGAGAUUUUGGGUUAAAUAUCUUGAAAGCAAAAAGAUCGAAAUUAGAAAAAUAUACUAUGGGCACACUUUAUUGUUGAGG